rnacentral:pre_miRNA from 1 species
AAUAAACAAAUUUCUGAGUUUUUAGAUGGAAUUUUUGACUCUUUGUCUUAUUUAAAAUUUUUUUGUGAUUAAUAUUUUUAUUGGUACUACAUGAUAAAACAUAAAUAGUACUUUACGUGUGACUAAUUUUUUAAAAUUUUUUAAUAAAUUUUUUGAAUAAGACGGAUAUUCAAAUGCUCAAACUAUAAAACCCAG